rnacentral:tRNA from 1 species
GUCCUCUUCGUCUAGUGGUCAGGACAUCGGGUUUUCAUCCCGACAACGGGGGUUCAAUUCCCCCAGAGGAUG